rnacentral:rRNA from 1 species
GUCUUUUUGAAUAUAAUUUAAGGUCUAAUCUGCUCAAUGAUUAAAAUUAAAUAGCUGCGGUAUUUUGACCGUACUAAGGUAGCAUAAUCAUUAGUUUUUUAAUUGAAAACUAGAAUGAAUGAUUGAAUAAGAAAACAGCUGUCUCAAAUUAAUUUUUUAAAAUUUUAUUUUUAAGUUCAAAAGCUUAAAUGGAAUUUAAAGACGAGAAGACCCUAUAGAGUUUAAUAUAAUAUAUUGAUUUAAAAGUAAGAUUAUAUUUUUUUAUUAUUUUUAUUAUAUUUAAUUGGGGUGAUUAAAAAAUUAGAUUAACUUUUUUUUACUUUUUACAUUAAUUAAUGAAUAUUUGAUCCAUUAUUUGUGAUUAUAAGAUUAAAUUACCUUAGGGAUAACAGCGUAAUUUUUUUAGAGAGUUCUUAUCGAAAAAAAAGAUUGCGACCUCGAUGUUGGAUUAAAAUAAAAUUUUGGCGCAAAAGUUAAAAAUUUAGGUCUGUUCGACCUUUAAAAUUUUACA